AAAAAAACACUUGUAUAUUUUUUAUUCUUUUUAUAUUUAAAGCAUUAUUUGAGUAGAGUGAAACGUAUUACAACAAAUCGUAUUAAAAAACAUCAAUUUAAAAAUUUUGUUAAAUUUCCCAAACAAAAAACCUAAGGCUACAAAGCCUUACGAGAUUCGCAUAUUUAUAGAAACAUCUGAGACAUCUAUACAGACAUACAGACAUCCAAAGGGCACGGCCGUCCAUGAAAAAAAUGUAGCCAUUGGUGCCAUCUAUCGACCACAGGUUAGAGAUUGGCGAUUUGUUGGAUACCGACCGAGUUAUAGGCAAAACUUGGUGCAAAAAUGAAGAAAAUUUUACAUUUUCUCAAACAGGGUAAGGAACUUGGUUCCUCGAAUAACUUCUGGCACAGACAUCUGACGGCAUGGCCGUCCAAGAAGAAAAUGUAGCCAUUGGUGCCAUCUAUCGACCACAGGUUAAAGAUUGGCGAUCCGUUGGAUACCGACCGAGUUAUAGGCAAAAUUUGGUGCAAAAAUGAAGAAAAUUUUCAUUUUUUUUUUGAAUUUUUUGAUUUUUUUAUUAUUUUCACUCUUUUUUUUAUUUCAAGCAUUAUUAGAGUGAAAAGAAAUUCAUUACAACCCAUCGGCAUUUAAAUAAAACAAUUUUAUUUUUUUUGCAAAAUUUCCCAAAAAAAUCGUAAGGGGUAAGCCUUAUGAAAUUUUCGAGUGGAAAUUUUUUUUAAAUUUUUUUUCUGAUUUUUUAUUCUUUUUUUAAUUUAAAGCACUAUUUAAGUGAAAUGAAACUUAUUGCAACAAAUUCCCAUCAAAAUAUAUCACAUUUAAAAUUUUUGCUACAUUGUUCAAAAAUGAGGAAAAUUUUACAUUUUCUCAAACAGGGUAAGGAACUUGGUUCCUCGAAUAACUUCUGGCACAGACAUCUAAGGACAUGGCUGUCCAAGAAGAAAAUGUAGCCAUUGGUGCCAUCUAUCGACCACAGGUUAAAGUUUGGCGAUCCGUUGGAUACCGACCGAGUUAUAGGCAAAACUUGGUGCAAAAAUGAGGAAAAUUUUACAUUUUCUCAAACAGGGUAUGGAACUUGGUUCCUCGAAUAACUUCUGGCACAGACAUCUGAGGGCAUGGCCGUCCAAGAAGAAAAUGUAGCCAUUGGUGCCAUCUAUCGACCACAGGUUAAAGAUUGGCGAUCCGUUGGAUACCGACCGAGUUAUAGGCAAAAUUUGGUGCAAAAAUGAAGAAAAUUUUACAUUUUUUUUUUGAAUUUUUUGAUUUUUUUAUUAUUUUCACUCUUUUUUUAUUUCAAGCAUUAUUUGAGUGAAAAGAAACUCAUUGCAACCCAUUGGCAUUAAAAUAAAACAAUUUUAUUUUUUUUGCAAAAUUUCCCAAAAAAAUCGUAAGGGGUAAGCCUUAUGAAAUUUUCGAGUGGAAAAUUUUUUUGAAAUUUUUUUCUGAUUUUUUAUUCUUUUUUUAAUUUAAAGCACUAUUUAAGUGAAAAGAAACUUAUUGCAACAAAUUCCCAUCAAAAUAUAUCACAUUUAAAAUUUUUGCUACAUUGCUCAAAAACGAGGAAAAUUUUACAUUUUCUCAAACAGGGUAAGGAACUUGGUUCCUCGAAUAACUUCUGGUACAGAUAUCUAAGGGUAUGGCUGUCCAAGAAGAAAAUGUAGCCAUUGGUGCCAUCUAUCGACCACAGGUUAAAGUUUGGCGAUCCGUUGGAUACCGACCGAGUUAUAGGCAAAACUUGGUGCAAAAAUGAAGAAAAUUUUACAUUUUCUCAAACAGGGUAUGGAACUUGGUUCCUCGAAUAACUUCUGGCACAGACAUCUGAGGGCAUGGCUGUCCAAGAAGAAAAUGUAGUCAUUGGUGCCAUCUAUCGACCACAGGUUAAAGAUUGGCGAUCCGUUGGAUACCGACCGAGUUAUAGGCAAAAUUUGGUGCAAAAAUGAAGAAAAUUUUACAUUUUUUUUGAAUUUUUUGAUUUUUUUAUUAUUUUUCACUCUUUUUUCUAUUUCAAGCAUUAUUAGAGUGAAAAGAAACUCAUUGCAACCCAUUGGCAUUAAAAUAAAACAAUUUUAUUUUUUUUGCAAAAUUUCCCAAAAAAAUCGUAAGGGGUAAGCCUUAUGAAAUUUUCGAGUGGAAAAUUUUUUUGAAAUUUUUUUCUGAUUUUUUAUUCUUUUUUUAAUUUAAAGCACUAUUUAAGUGAAAGGAAACUUAUUGCAACAAAUUCCCAUCAAAAUAUAUCACAUUUAAAAUUUUUGCUACAUUGCUCAAAAAUGAGGAAAAUUUUACAUUUUCUCAAACAGGGUAAGGAGCUUGGUUCCUCGAAUAACUUCUGGCACAGACAUCUAAGGACAUGGCUGUCCAAGAAGAAAAUGUAGCCAUUGGUGCCAUCUAUCGACCACAGGUUAAAGUUUGGCGAUCCGUUGGAUACCGACCGAGUUAUAAGCAAAACUUGGUGCAAAAAUGAAUAAAAUUUUACAUUUUCUCAAACAGGGUAUGGAACUUGGUUCCUCGAAUAACUUCUGGCAGAGACAUCUGAGGGCAUGGCCGUCCAAGAAGAAAAUGUAGCCAUUGGUGCCAUCUAUCGACCACAGGUUAAAGAUUGGCGAUCCGUUGGAUACCGACCGAGUUAUAGGCAAAAUUUGGUGCAAAAAUGAAGAAAAUUUUCAUUUUUUUUUUGAAUUUUUUGAUUUUUUUAUUAUUUUCACUCUUUUUUUUAUUUCAAGCAUUAUUAGAGUGAAAAGAAAUUCAUUACAACCCAUCGGCAUUUAAAUAAAACAAUUUUAUUUUUUUUGCAAAAUUUCCCAAAAAAAUCGUAAGGGGUAAGCCUUAUGAAAUUUUCGAGUGGAAAUUUUUUUUAAAUUUUUUUUCUGAUUUUUUAUUCUUUUUUUAAUUUAAAGCACUAUUUAAGUGAAAUGAAACUUAUUGCAACAAAUUCCCAUCAAAAUAUAUCACAUUUAAAAUUUUUGCUACAUUGUUCAAAAAUGAGGAAAAUUUUACAUUUUCUCAAACAGGGUAAGGAACUUGGUUCCUCGAAUAACUUCUGGCACAGACAUCUAAGGACAUGGCUGUCCAAGAAGAAAAUGUAGCCAUUGGUGCCAUCUAUCGACCACAGGUUAAAGUUUGGCGAUCCGUUGGAUACCGACCGAGUUAUAGGCAAAACUUGGUGCAAAAAUGAGGAAAAUUUUACAUUUUCUCAAACAGGGUAUGGAACUUGGUUCCUCGAAUAACUUCUGGCACAGACAUCUGAGGGCAUGGCCGUCCAAGAAGAAAAUGUAGCCAUUGGUGCCAUCUAUCGACCACAGGUUAGAGAUUGGCGAUUUGUUGGAUACCGACCGAGUUAUAGGCAAAACUUGGUGCAAAAAUGAAGAAAAUUUUACAUUUUCUCAAACAGGGUAAGGAACUUGGUUCCUCGAAUAACUUCUGGCACAGACAUCUGACGGCAUGGCCGUCCAAGAAGAAAAUGUAGCCAUUGGUGCCAUCUAUCGACCACAGGUUAAAGAUUGGCGAUCCGUUGGAUACCGACCGAGUUAUAGGCAAAAUUUGGUGCAAAAAUGAAGAAAAUUUUCAUUUUUUUUUUUGAAUUUUUUGAUUUUUUUAUUAUUUUCACUCUUUUUUUUAUUUCAAGCAUUAUUAGAGUGAAAAGAAAUUCAUUACAACCCAUCGGCAUUUAAAUAAAACAAUUUUAUUUUUUUUGCAAAAUUUCCCAAAAAAAUCGUAAGGGGUAAGCCUUAUGAAAUUUUCGAGUGGAAAUUUUUUUUAAAUUUUUUUUCUGAUUUUUUAUUCUUUUUUUAAUUUAAAGCACUAUUUAAGUGAAAUGAAACUUAUUGCAACAAAUUCCCAUCAAAAUAUAUCACAUUUAAAAUUUUUGCUACAUUGUUCAAAAAUGAGGAAAAUUUUACAUUUUCUCAAACAGGGUAAGGAACUUGGUUCCUCGAAUAACUUCUGGCACAGACAUCUAAGGACAUGGCUGUCCAAGAAGAAAAUGUAGCCAUUGGUGCCAUCUAUCGACCACAGGUUAAAGUUUGGCGAUCCGUUGGAUACCGACCGAGUUAUAGGCAAAACUUGGUGCAAAAAUGAGGAAAAUUUUACAUUUUCUCAAACAGGGUAUGGAACUUGGUUCCUCGAAUAACUUCUGGCACAGACAUCUGAGGGCAUGGCUGUCCAAGAAGAAAAUGUAGCCAUUGGUGCCAUCUAUCGACCACAGGUUAAAGAUUGGCGAUCCGUUGGAUACCGACCGAGUUAUAGGCAAAAUUUGGUGCAAAAAUGAAGAAAAUUUUACAUUUUUUUUUUGAAUUUUUUGAUUUUUUUAUUAUUUUCACUCUUUUUUUAUUUCAAGCAUUAUUUGAGCGAAAAGAAACUCAUUGCAACCCAUUGGCAUUAAAAUAAAACAAUUUUAUUUUUUUUGCAAAAUUUCCCAAAAAAAUCGUAAGGGGUAAGCCUUAUGAAAUUUUCGAGUGGAAAAUUUUUUUGAAAUUUUUUUCUGAUUUUUUAUUCUUUUUUUAAUUUAAAGCACUAUUUAAGUGAAAAGAAACUUAUUGCAACAAAUUCCCAUCAAAAUAUAUCACAUUUAAAAUUUUUGCUACAUUGCUCAAAAACGAGGAAAAUUUUACAUUUUCUCAAACAGGGUAAGGAACUUGGUUCCUCGAAUAACUUCUGGUACAGACAUCUAAGGGUAUGGCUGUCCAAGAAGAAAAUGUAGCCAUUGGUGCCAUCUAUCGACCACAGGUUAAAGUUUGGCGAUCCGUUGGAUACCGACCGAGUUAUAGGCAAAACUUUGUGCAAAAAUGAAGAAAAUUUUACAUUUUCUCAAACAGGGUAUGGAACUUGGUUCCUCGAAUAACUUCUGGCACAGACAUCUGAGGGCAUGGCUGUCCAAGAAGAAAAUGUAGUCAUUGGUGCCAUCUAUCGACCACAGGUUAAAGAUUGGCGAUCCGUUGGAUACCGACCGAGUUAUAGGCAAAAUUUGGUGCAAAAAUGAAGAAAAUUUUACAUUUUUUUUGAAUUUUUUGAUUUUUUUAUUAUUUUUCACUCUUUUUUCUAUUUCAAGCAUUAUUAGAGUGAAAAGAAACUCAUUGCAACCCAUUGGCAUUAAAAUAAAACAAUUUUAUUUUUUUUGCAAAAUUUCCCAAAAAAAUCGUAAGGGGUAAGCCUUAUGAAAUUUUCGAGUGGAAAAUUUUUUUGAAAUUUUUUUCUGAUUUUUUAUUCUUUUUUUAAUUUAAAGCACUAUUUAAGUGAAAGGAAACUUAUUGCAACAAAUUCCCAUCAAAAUAUAUCACAUUUAAAAUUUUUGCUACAUUGCUCAAAAAUGAGGAAAAUUUUACAUUUUUUCAAACAGGGUAAGGAGCUUGGUUCCUCGAAUAACUUCUGGCACAGACAUCUAAGGACAUGGCUGUCCAAGAAGAAAAUGUAGCCAUUGGUGCCAUCUAUCGACCACAGGUUAAAGUUUGGCGAUCCGUUGGAUACCGACCGAGUUAUAAGCAAAACUUGGUGCAAAAAUGAAUAAAAUUUUACAUUUUCUCAAACAGGGUAUGGAACUUGGUUCCUCGAAUAACUUCUGGCAGAGACAUCUGAGGGCAUGGCCGUCCAAGAAGAAAAUGUAGCCAUUGGUGCCAUCUAUCGACCACAGGUUAAAGAUUGGCGAUCCGUUGGAUACCGACCGAGUUAUAGGCAAAAUUUGGUGCAAAAAUGAAGAAAAUUUUCAUUUUUUUUUUGAAUUUUUUGAUUUUUUUAUUAUUUUCACUCUUUUUUUUAUUUCAAGCAUUAUUAGAGUGAAAAGAAAUUCAUUACAACCCAUCGGCAUUUAAAUAAAACAAUUUUAUUUUUUUUGCAAAAUUUCCCAAAAAAAUCGUAAGGGGUAAGCCUUAUGAAAUUUUCGAGUGGAAAUUUUUUUUAAAUUUUUUUUCUGAUUUUUUAUUCUUUUUUUAAUUUAAAGCACUAUUUAAGUGAAAUGAAACUUAUUGCAACAAAUUCCCAUCAAAAUAUAUCACAUUUAAAAUUUUUGCUACAUUGUUCAAAAAUGAGGAAAAUUUUACAUUUUCUCAAACAGGGUAAGGAACUUGGUUCCUCGAAUAACUUCUGGCACAGACAUCUAAGGACAUGACUGUCCAAGAAGAAAAUGUAGCCAUUGGUGCCAUCUAUCGACCACAGGUUAAAGUUUGGCGAUCCGUUGGAUACCGACCGAGUUAUAGGCAAAACUUGGUGCAAAAAUGAGGAAAAUUUUACAUUUUCUCAAACAGGGUAUGGAACUUGGUUCCUCGAAUAACUUCUGGCACAGACAUCUGAGGGCAUGGCCGUCCAAGAAGAAAAUGUAGCCAUUGGUGCCAUCUAUCGACCACAGGUUAAAGAUUGGCGAUCCGUUGGAUACCGACCGAGUUAUAGGCAAAAUUUGGUGCAAAAAUGAAGAAAAUUUUACAUUUUUUUUUUGAAUUUUUUGAUUUUUUUAUUAUUUUCACUCUUUUUUUAUUUCAAGCAUUAUUUGAGUGAAAAGAAACUCAUUGCAACCCAUUGGCAUUAAAAUAAAACAAUUUUAUUUUUUUUGCAAAAUUUCCCAAAAAAAUCGUAAGGGGUAAGCCUUAUGAAAUUUUCGAGUGGAAAAUUUUUUUGAAAUUUUUUUCUGAUUUUUUAUUCUUUUUUUAAUUUAAAGCACUAUUUAAGUGAAAAGAAACUUAUUGCAACAAAUUCCCAUCAAAAUAUAUCACAUUUAAAAUUUUUGCUACAUUGCUCAAAAACGAGGAAAAUUUUACAUUUUCUCAAACAGGGUAAGGAACUUGGUUCCUCGAAUAACUUCUGGUACAGACAUCUAAGGGUAUGGCUGUCCAAGAAGAAAAUGUAGCCAUUGGUGCCAUCUAUCGACCACAGGUUAAAGUUUGGCGAUCCGUUGGAUACCGACCGAGUUAUAGGCAAAACUUGGUGCAAAAAUGAAGAAAAUUUUACAUUUUCUCAAACAGGGUAUGGAACUUGGUUCCUCGAAUAACUUCUGGCACAGACAUCUGAGGGCAUGGCUGUCCAAGAAGAAAAUGUAGUCAUUGGUGCCAUCUAUCGACCACAGGUUAAAGAUUGGCGAUCCGUUGGAUACCGACCGAGUUAUAGGCAAAAUUUGGUGCAAAAAUGAAGAAAAUUUUAAAUUUUUUUUGAAUUUUUUGAUUUUUUUAUUAUUUUUCACUCUUUUUUCUAUUUCAAGCAUUAUUAGAGUGAAAAGAAACUCAUUGCAACCCAUUGGCAUUAAAAUAAAACAAUUUAAUUUUUUUUGCAAAAUUUCCCAAAAAAAUCGUAAGGGGUAAGCCUUAUGAAAUUUUCGAGUGGAAAAUUUUUUUGAAAUUUUUUUCUGAUUUUUUAUUCUUUUUUUAAUUUAAAGCACUAUUUAAGUGAAAGGAAACUUAUUGCAACAAAUUCCCAUCAAAAUAUAUCACAUUUAAAAUUUUUGCUACAUUGCUCAAAAAUGAGGAAAAUUUUACAUUUUCUCAAACAGGGUAAGGAGCUUGGUUCCUCGAAUAACUUCUGGCACAGACAUCUAAGGACAUGGCUGUCCAAGAAGAAAAUGUAGCCAUUGGUGCCAUCUAUCGACCACAGGUUAAAGUUUGGCGAUCCGUUGGAUACCGACCGAGUUAUAGGCAAAACUUGGUGCAAAAAUGAAUAAAAUUUUACAUUUUCUCAAACAGGGUAUGGAACUUGGUUCCUCGAAUAACUUCUGGCAGAGACAUCUGAGGGCAUGGCCGUCCAAGAAGAAAAUGUAGCCAUUGGUGCCAUCUAUCGACCACAGGUUAAAGAUUGGCGAUCCGUUGGAUACCGACCGAGUUAUAGGCAAAAUUUGGUGCAAAAAUGAAGAAAAUUUUUAUUUUUUUUUUGAAUUUUUUUUUUUUUUUUUUUUAUUUUUCACUCUGUUUUUUAUUUCAAGCAUUAUUAGAGUGAAAAGAAACUCAUUGCAACCCAUUGGCAUUAAAAUAAAACAAUUUAAUUUUUUUUGCAAAAUUUCCCAAAAAAAUCGUAAGGGGUAAGCCUUAUGAAAUUUUCGAGUGGAAAAUUUUUUUGAAAUUUUUUUCUGAUUUUUUAUUCUUUUUUUAAUUUAAAGCACUAUUUAAGUGAAAAGAAACUUAUUGCAACAAAUUCCCAUCAAAAUAUAUCACAUUUAAAAUUUUUGCUACAUUGCUCAAAAAUGAGCAAAAUUUUACAUUUUCUCAAACAGGGUAAGGAACUUGGUUCCUCGAAUAACUUCUGGCACAGACAUCUGAGGGCAUGGCCGUCCAAGAAGAAAAUGUAGCCAUUGGUGCCAUCUAUCGACCACAGGUUAAAGUUUGGCGAUCCGUUAGAUACCGACCGAGUUAUAGGCAAAACUUGGUGCAAAAAUGAAGAAAAUUUUACAUUUUCUCAAACAGGGUAUGGAACUUGGUUCCUCGAAUAACUUCUGGCACAGACAUCUGAGGGCAUGGCCGUCCAAGAAGAAAAUGUAGCCAUUGGUGCCAUCUAUCGACCACAGGUUAAAGUUUGGCGAUCCGUUGGAUACCGACCGAGUUAUAGGCAAAACUUGGUGCAAAAAUGAAAAAAAUUUUACAUUUUCUCAAACAGGGUAUGGAACUUGGUCCCUCGAAUAACUUCUGGCAGAGACAUCUGAGGGCAUGGCCGUCCAAGAAGAAAAUGUAGCCAUUGGUGCCAUCUAUCGACCACAGGUUAAAGAUUGGCGAUCCGUUGGAUACCGACCGAGUUAUAGGCAAAAUUUGAUGCAAAAAUGAAGAAAAUUUUUAUUUUUUUUUGAAUUUUUUGAUUUUUUUUUAUUUUUCACUCUGUUUUUUAUUUCAAGCAUUAUUUGAGUGAAAAGAAACUCAUUGCAACCCAUUGGCAUUAAAAUAAAACAAUUUAAUUUUUUUUGCAAAAUUUCCCAAAAAAAUCGUAAGGGGUAAGUCUUAUGAAAUUUUCGAGUGGAAAAUUUUUUUGAAAUUUUUUUCUGAUUUUUUAUUCUUUUUUUAAUUUAAAGCACUAUUUAAGUGAAAAGAAACUUAUUGCAACAAAUUCCCAUCAAAAUAUAUCACAUUUAAAAUUUUUGCUACAUUGCUCAAAAAUGAGCAAAAUUUUACAUUUUCUCAAACAGGGUAAGGAACUUGGUUCCUCGAAUAACUUCUGGCACAGACAUCUGAGGGCAUGGCCGUCCAAGAAGAAAAUGUAGCCAUUGGUGCCAUCUAUCGACCACAGGUUAAAGAUUGGCGAUCCGUUGGAUACCGACCGAGUUAUAGGCAAAAUUUGGUGCAAAAAUGAAGAAAAUUUUACAUUUUUUUUUGAAUUUUUUGAUUUUUUUAUUAUUUUCACUCUUUUUUUAUUUCAAGCAUUAUUUGAGUGAAAAGAAACUCAUUGCAACCCAUUGGCAUUAAAAUAAAACAAUUUUAUUUUUUUUGCAAAAUUUCCCAAAAAAAUCGUAAGGGGUAAGCCUUAUGAAAUUUUCGAGUGGAAAAUUUUUUUGAAAUUUUUUUCUGAUUUUUUAUUCUUUUUUUAAUUUAAAACACUAUUUAAGUGAAAAGAAACUUAUUGCAACAAAUUCCCAUCAAAAUAUAUCACAUUUAAAAUUUUUGCUACAUUGCUCAAAAAUGAGCAAACUUUUACAUUUUCUCAAACAGGGUAAGGAACUUGGUUCCUCGAAUAACUUCUGGCACAGACAUCUGAGGGCAUGGCCGUCCAAGAAGAAAAUGUAGCCAUUGGUGCCAUCUAUCGACCACAGGUUAAAGAUUGGUGAUCCGUUGGAUACCGACCGAGUUAUAGGCAAAACUUGGUGCGAAAAUGGGCCUUAGUGGAUUGACAAAUUGAUAGAUUUUUUCAAUUUUUUCAUUAUUUUUUACCUUUUUCUAAUUUAAAGCAUUGUUUGAGUGAAAAGGAACUAAUUGCAACAAUUUCGCAUUAAAAAAAACAAAUUUUUAAAUUUUGCUAAAUUUCUCAAAAAAAUGGCAAGGGGUACCCCUUAUGAAAUUUUCGAGUGGAAAAUUUUUUUGAAAUUUUUUUCUGAUUUUUUAUUCUUUUUUUAAUUUAAAGCACUAUUUAAGUGAAAAGAAACUUAUUGCAA